AGGACGAACGCUGGCGGCGUGCCUAACACAUGCAAGUCGAACGCGCUCCAUUCGGUAGCAAUACUGAUGAAGAGCGAGUGGCGAACGGGUGAGUAGCACGUGAGCAACCUGCCCCGAAGACUGGGACAACACCGGGAAACCGGUGCUAAUACCGGAUAUCCCUAUCGGAUCGCAUGAUCUGAUAAGGAAAUGUUUUUCGCUUCGGGAGGGGCUCGCGGCCUAUCAGCUAGUUGGUGGGGUAACGGCCUACCAAGGCAUCGACGGGUAGCUGGUCUGAGAGGACGAUCAGCCACACUGGGACUGAGACACGGCCCAGACUCCUACGGGAGGCAGCAGUGGGGAAUCUUGCGCAAUGGGCGAAAGCCUGACGCAGCAACGCCGCGUGGAGGACGAAGGCUUUCUGAGUUGUAAACUCCUUUCAGCAGGGACGAUUGUGACGGUACCUGCAGAGAAGCACCGGCAACUACGUGCCAGCAGCCG
rnacentral:rRNA from 1 species